rnacentral:rRNA from 1 species
GACAGAGGCCCCGAGCGUUAGGCGGAAUCACUGGGCUUAAAGCGUGUGUAGGCGGUUUGAUAAGUCUGAUGUGAAAUCCCGCAGCUUAACUGCGGAACUGCAUUGGAAACUAUUUGACUAGAGGAAUGGAGGGGAGACUGGAAUACUUGGUGUAGCAGUGAAAUGCGUAGAUAUCAAGUGGAACACCAGUGGCGAAGGCGAGUCUCUGGACAUUUCCUGACGCUGAGGCACGAAAGCCAGGGGAGCAAACGGG